ACAAACUUGGUCAUUUAGAGGAAGUAAAAGUCGUAACAAGGUUUCCGUAGGUGAACCUGCGGAAGGAUCAUUACCGAGUUAGGGUCUCCCCUUCGCGGAGGGCCCGACCUCCCAACCCCGUGUCUAAUAAACCUGUACGUGUUGCUUCGGCGGACCGGCGGGGUCGCGAGACCCGUGCCGCCGGGGGAGUCUGUCCUCCCCUGGAGAGCGUCCGUCGAUGGCCCAACCAAACAAACUACCAAAACCAAAACGAUUGACUCUGGACCCUCUGAAUCAGACCACAGUUUGAUGUAACAAUCAAAAAACAAAACUUUCAACAACGGAUCUCUUGGUUCUGGCAUCGAUGAAGAACGCAGC
rnacentral:misc_RNA from 1 species